rnacentral:rRNA from 1 species
AUUGAACGCUGGCGGCAGGCCUAACACAUGCAAGUCGAACGAGUGGCGGACGGGUGAGUAAUGUCUGGGAAACUGCCCGAUGGAGGGGGAUAACUACUGGAAACGGUAGCUAAUACCGCAUACCAUCGGAUGUGCCCAUAUGGGAUUAGCUAGUAGGUGGGGUAACGGCUAACCUAGGCGACGAUCCCUAGCUGGUCUGAGAGGAUGACGAGCAACACGGGAACGGAGCAACGGCCAAGACUCCUACGGGAGGCAGCAGUGGGGAUCAUUGCACAAGGGGGGCAAGCCUGAUGAAGCCAUGCCGAGUGUAUGAAGAAGGCCUUCGGGUUGUAAAGUACGUUCAGCGGGGAGGCGUUACCCGCAGAAGAAGCAACGGCUAACUCCGUGCCAGCAGCCGCGGUAAUAC